GACGAACGCUGGCGGCGUGCUUAACACAUGCAAGUCGAACGGAAAGGCCCUGCUUUUGUGGGGUGCUCGAGUGGCGAACGGGUGAGUAACACGUGAGUAACCUGCCCUUGACUUUGGGAUAACUUCAGGAAACUGGGGCGAAUACCGGAUAGGAUCUCCUGCUGCAUGGUGUGGGAUGGUAAGUUUCGGCGGUGGGGGAUGGACUCGCUGCUUAUCAGCUUGUUGGUGGGGUAGUGGCUUACCAAGGCUAUGACGGGUAGCCGGCCUGGGAGGGUGACCGGGGACAAUGGUACUGCGAUACGGACCAGACUCGUACGGGACGCAGCAGUGGAGAAUCUUGCACAACGGCGGGAAGCCUGAUGCAGAGACGCCGGGUGCGGGAUGCCGGCUUUCGGGUUAUAAACAGAUUUCGCAUGUAACGAAGAGUGAGUGACGGUACUGAGUCAAGAAGCCACGGCUAACUACGUG
rnacentral:rRNA from 1 species